UCUCCACAAUUACGUGGUAGGAUACGCAACCCUAUGAUCCGGCCCUCAUUGAGGAGGAGACACGUUUCUCUCCAAAAUGGCGACAACCGGGUAAAUGACUUGCCUCUACCUCUCCACAGUUACGUGGUAGGAUACGCAAGCAUCAUCCGAUCCUCAUGGAGGAGGAGACAUGAUCUCUCUAAAAUGGCGAUAACCGUGUUCAUGUCUUGCAUCUACCUCUCCACGGUAACGUGGUUAGGAUAUGCAACCCUAUGACCCGGCCCUCAUGGAGGAUGAGCAAUGCCCGCACAAAAUCGACAACUGGCUCGGCUGUUGCGUUUGCCUUUCCACGCAAGUGGAAUCGCAGGGUAAUUACCGACGCUGGACGUCACCGA
rnacentral:misc_RNA from 1 species